GACGAACGCUGGCGGCGUGCCUAAUACAUGCAAGUAGAACGCAGUUGCGAACGGGUGAGUAACGCGUAGGUAACUGCCUCAUAGCGGGGGAUAACUCUUGGAAACGAUAGCUAAUACCGCAUACUUUGAGAUGGACCUUCGUUGUAUUCGGUAGUUGGUGAGGUAAAGGCUCACCAAGGCGACGAUACAUAGCCGAGCUGAGAGGGUGAUCGGCCAAACUGGGACUGAGAAACGGGCCAGACUCCUACGGGAGGGAGCAGGAGGGAAUCUUCGGAAAUGGACGGAAGUCUGAACGAGCAACGCCGCGGGAGGGAAGAAGGUUUUCGGAGCGUAAAGCUCUGUUGUUAGGGAAGCGGUAACUAAACAGAAAGGGACGGCUAACUACGUGCCAGCAGCCGCGGUAAUUC
rnacentral:rRNA from 1 species